CCUACGGGAGGCAGCAGUGGGGAAUUUUGCGCAAUGGGGGAACCCUGACGCAGCAACGCCGCGUGGAGGAUGAAGUCCCUUGGGAUGUAAACUCCUUUCGAUCGGGACGAUAAUGACGGUACCGGAAGAAGAAGCACCGGCUAACUCUGUGCCAGCAGCCGCGGU
rnacentral:rRNA from 1 species